UAAUCGCGAAUCAGCAUGUCGCGGUGAAUACGUUCCCGGGCCUUGUACACACCGCCCGUCACACCAUGAGAGUUGGCAAUACCCAACGUACGUGAUCUAACCCGCAAGGGAGGAAGCGUCCUAAGGUAGGGUCAGCGAUUGGGGUGAAGUCGUAACAAGGUAAC
rnacentral:rRNA from 1 species